ACACUCCUGCGGGAGGCAGCAGUGGGGAAUAUUGCACAAUGGGCGCAAGCCUGAUGCAGCCAUGCCGCGUGUAUGAAGAAGGCCUUCGGGUUGUAAAGUACUUUCAGCGGGGAGGAAGGCGAUAAGGUUAAUAACCUUGUUGAUUGACGUUACCCGCAGAAGAAGCACCGGCUAACUCCGUGCCAGCAGCCGCGGUAAUACGGAGGGUGCAAGCGUUAAUCGGAAUUACUGGGCGUAAAGCGCACGCAGGCGGUCUGUCAAGUCGGAUGUGAAAUCCCCGGGCUCAACCUGGGAACUGCAUUCGAAACUGGCAGGCUAGAGUCUUGUAGAGGGGGGUAGAAUUCCAGGUGUAGCGGUGAAAUGCGUAGAGAUCUGGAGGAAUACCGGUGGCGAAGGCGGCCCCCUGGACAAAGACUGACGCUCAGGUGCGAAAGCGUGGGGAGCAAACAGGAUUAGAUACCCCGGUAGUCCCAU
rnacentral:rRNA from 1 species